AAGAAAGAAGAAGAAUAAAAAGGCCGCAUUGGGUCCCAAUAUAGAUCUUGCUCCUUCUCUUGUUCUUUCCUCAGUUUUUCUUCCUAUUUUU
rnacentral:ribozyme from 1 species